UACGUAGGUGGCAAGCGUUGUCCGGAUUUAUUGGGUUUAAAGGGUGCGUAGGCGGCCUUGUAAGUCAGUGGUGAAAUACUCUAGCUUAACUAGAGGGGUGCCAAUGAUACUGCAGGGCUUGAGUACAGAUGAGGUAGGCGGAAUUGACGGUGUAGCGGUGAAAUGCAUAGAUAUCGUCAAGAACACCUAUAGCGAAGGCAGCUUACUGGGCUGUAACUGACGCUGAGGCACGAAAAGUGUGGGGAUCAAAACAGG
rnacentral:rRNA from 1 species